rnacentral:misc_RNA from 1 species
AAGCCAUUGUUUAUGAUUAAGCAGUGUACCAAAAUUCUUGACAUUCAAUAUUUGGGGACAACAAAGUGACCAAUCAAUUAGGAAAAUCUAAGCGUCUUGAUUAAAAACAUGCUUGCAUAGUUGCAUAGACCUGUAGAUGUUAAUUUAUUGUUGUACUGCGCCUUCCGUCUGCAACGAAAUAAAACAAUAAUUGUAAAACUCCUAACACUUGUUUUAUUUUCCCCUGCUGACAAUUCUCUGGGUUGUAGACGAGUCUAUUUGCUGCGGGGGAAGGCAUAGAUAAACAUCUUCAAACUGAUUUAGUGGAGCGAAAUAUUAUUCUGCAGAUUCUGUCAUAUUGUUCCACAGUAGGCUUUCUUUAAUCUCUUAUGCUUUUUGAUCUAGCAAUGCACGUGAAGAUAACAAUCUGAUAUGAAAUUUAAGGAGAUACUGGGCCAGAAAAUGUUGAGACCACUGAAGCUGUUUCAUCUCGAAGAUGAGAAGCAAAGCCAGGUCGAGCAAACAUCUUUUGUCCCUGUAUUUUCCGUGCUUCCUUUAUCAAGGAUAUACCUUGAGUUGCAGAAUUGAUGCUGUUGUUUCCCAUCUGUUGGAUGCUCAGGGAAAGCCUUCUAUUUAAAGGGGUUGCAUUGCUAAGGCCUCCGUUUAAGCUUCUGUUUGAAAGACGUCGACUACUGGUGCCUGGCCUUGACCCAAAUGUAUUAUCUUGGUCAACUACUACCUGGAUCUGCACCUUCUUCUUUUCCCUUUGUCUUUGCUUCUCUUCCUCUCUCUCCUGCCUUGACAUGUUAUAUUCUUCCAACAUUGCCAACAGAGGUACAUCAUCAAACAAGAAUACUUUCUUUCUUUCUUCUUCCCAAAUCUUGGUCUUUGCUAUAAGCGAGGCCACCAAAACUGAGAUUUUGUUGACUAUUACUCGGGCACGUUCUGCACGUCUCAGGUUCUUAUGAGCACCUCUGCUAACUGAAUAUCGAUUUUCAUCCAUGCUAUAUUCUUCUAACCAGCGUUCCUCAUCACGUGCUAAAAUCCACCUUUCAACCUUUUCCAUUAUUUCCUUCCUGCUAGAAGCUUCUUCUUUUGCUCUUGCUAUCUGUUCAUCCAUGCUCAUGAGGAGAUCGGCAUGGUCAAUCUCCCCUUUUUAAUGUGUCAGUAUGCAGACAACUACAGUCUUAAACGUGAAUAACAAUGGAUAAUUGGAACAAAUGAUUCAGUCAAACUUACCCGAGUUUAUAAGUGUAAUUAUAUUAUCAAUCUCUGGUCUUGAAGGGAUCUCCAUGUGUGAUUUAUUGCAUAUAUCCUCUAGCUCAUUCUGCUUCUUGAAGAAAAGCUCUUUCAUCUUGCUUGCCUUUAACUGAUCCAGUCGCUUCACUUCUGCUUCAGCCUGCUGGAUUAUAUUCAGGGUAAGGCUUCCAGGAUCUGAUACUUCAGCCGAUGAGACAGAUAACAAGCCAGUGACAUGAGAAAACAGACGGCGAUCUUCAGAGGGUGUGUCCAUGAGUUUCCAUAAAUUUCUCAAUGCCUUUCCUAGAUGAUGAAGCUUUUCAAGUCGCUUCUGUUUUUCUUCCUCAAGCGAUUCCACUGUGCUGUUGAGUUUGGCCAAAAUGCUGUCACUUAUAUUUUUGGAUAUGCCACACAAUUCAUUCAAACUUGGAUGAACUUUUGUUACAAUCAUGGAAGAUUCCAUUCCUAAUGUUGUGGAUAAUCUGUGGAUUGUAUCUAUGUAUGUCUCCACUUGCUGGAGCCUGUCAUUCUUCUCAUUGUGAAGCCUUUGUAGCUCAAUCUGAUAUUCCUCUAGUUUCUUCAAUGAAAGAUCAUUCUCGUUUACUAUGACAUUUGUUAUUGAGUCUUCAUACACUGACUGACCUGCAAUUUCUGCAGAAAUUUUUUGAAUUUGCCCUUUCACAGCUCGAAACUGGUUCACUCUUUCUUCUUUUCUCAACCUCAUCUCCCGCAAUGCUGGGGUGAUUGCAUCUAGCUGCUCCUUUAGUGUUCCUGAAAUUUUUUCUGGCCUUCCAGGGAGAGAUCGUUCCCCAAGUGACAGAAGGAGAUGCGUAAAUUCAGCUUCAGAUUCUGCUAACUCUUGAUGCAGGCGAGCUCUUGAUAUAUUUGCACUGUCCACUUUUCUUCUAUAAACUUCUAGACACUCCUGUUCUAAAUCCAGGAGGACCUUCUCUCUUUCAAACUGGUCCUCACCAACUUCAUCCCAGAUGAUCUGUUUCAAGUUAGGAGGAAAGGAAAGAGAUUGAGAACAAAUAAAGCAUUAUAUUUGCUCAUGAAUUACUAUCAUGAUCUCCUGAAUACUCUUGCCUGCAAUUCUUGGAGUAGGUAUCCACAUGAUGUUUCUAACAAUGCAGAGCUUCGCAUUCCAAUAGGUGUUUGGAACGAACCCAUCUGACAGGCCCUUCAGUGUGGCUGGAAAUUUUGGAGGUACUUGGAUCACUAGAAUAUGUGAGUUCUUUGUGAGACAGUUCGGCUACUGGACACUGGUGGCUGAAAGCAUUGGUUCAUUUCGAAGCAACUAAGUAUUGAGAGAAAGGGAAUGAUGAUCGGGAAUUUUGGUGCGAGUAUUUCCUUAAAAGAAAAGGCUACUGAGUUU